GUUUAAAUUUUGUUUGUUUUGAUUUGAUUUAGUUGUGUAAUAAAUGUUUUGAAUCAAUUAAAAUUAUAGACAACUGUGAAUUUAUAGCUUUUACCAUGUCCUCAGUGGUAGCAAAUCGCGAUCGGGAUUGUUUCUCUUGUCGCAUGGUGAGCGGCACCGGUUUGCUCGGAAUUGGGGGUUAUCUCGCAUAUCAUGCACGAAAAAACCCUACAAAAGCUGGUAGAUUGACUAUUUCAUCUUUCGCGUUGGCUUUUAUUGGACUUGGAGUAGCGAGAUGUGGACAGCUGUAUCCUUUCGACAGGCACACCAGAGCUACUUAGAUCCAACAAUUCGGUGGAAAAGGUAAAACGACUUUAAAUUCUAUGAUGUAAUAGUACAAUUUGCUGUACUUUAAAUUCUAAGUCUGUAAUGUGAAGCAUUUUAAUGAACAAUAUUGUUGAUAGAUUCUUGAAGUAGGAUAGUCUAAGUGAUGGUUAUGUUAUAUUAAGAUUUAGAAUGGAAAAUCUUGUAAUGGAAGCAGUGGCAUCAUGCAUUUAUAUAUUUAACUAUGAACAAUAACAACUAGUUUUUUUUAAGUUAUUGAUUGUUAUUUUUAUAGAUGAGUAAGAAAAUAAAUUGUAUUUAAACAUA